rnacentral:rRNA from 1 species
GCUUGCGCAUCGCUGACGAGUGGCGGACGGAUGAUUACUGCUUGGGAGCUUGCCUUUGCGAGGGGGUAUAGCAGUUGGAAACUACUGCUAAUACCGCAUAAUGUUUUCCAACCAAACGGGGCUUCGGCUCCGGCGCUAAGAGAGGCCCAAGUGACAUUACCUAGUUGGUGAGGUAAAGGCUCACCAAAGCAACAAUCUCCACCUGUUCUGAGAGGAACAUCACCCACAUCUGGGACUGAGACACGGCCCAGACUCCUACGGGAGGCAGCAAUGGGGAAUAUUGCACAAUGGGGGAAACCCUGAUGCAUCCAUGCCUCGUGUGUGAUUAACGCCUUCAGGAUGAAAAGCACUUUCCGUUGUGAGGAAAAGCUACUAAUUCAUACCUGCUAGCCGUGACGUUAACAACAGAGGAAGCACCGGCUAACUCCAUGCCAGCAUCCGCGGCAAUACAGAGGGUGCUAGCGUUGCUCUCAAUUACUGGGCGUCAAGCCCACGCAGGCGGUUUGUUCUACUAGAUGUGAAAGCCCCGGGCUCAACCUGAGAUGGUCAUUUAGAACUGACAUACUAAAAUCUUGGAGAGAGGAGUGGAAUUCC